UACGUAGGGGGGCUAGCGUUGUCCGGAAUCAUUGGGCGUAAAGAGCGUGUAGGCGGCUAUACAGGUCCGCUGUGAAAACUCGAGGCUCAACCUCGAGACGUCGGUGGAAACCGUAUGGCUAGAGUCCGGAAGAGGCGAGUGGAAUUCCUGGUGUAGCGGUGGAAUGCGCAGAUAUCAGGAGGAACACCAAUAGCGAAGGCAGCUCGCUGGGACGUUACUGACACUGAGGCGCGAAAGCGUGGGGAGCGAACAGG
rnacentral:rRNA from 1 species